CUCCACUCCGAGGAUCUUUACAGCACUGCAUCUGACGGCUGAGAAUAAAAGUGUCCUAAACACACAAGCUUGAAAAUCGCUUCACCUUACAGCCGAAACCUCCGUCUCUACGGGCAUGUGAAUGUGAGCACAUAUUUGUAUUUAUGGGGAGAAUUUAUGGGCUGUUUGCCUGUGUGCACCAAUGAUUCCAGGCUCAUCAGAGAACAUGUUGUAGAAAACAGCAUGAAGAAAUUUAACGAGAAAAAAAGAAAACGGAUGGAAGAAAACUUAACCUUCGUGAGAGUCGUGUCAAUCUAUAAACUAGUAAAUGAUCACCUUUAUUACAGGUGUGCAAACCCAGGGAACAUGAGUCCUGGACUUGAGGAAUGGGGCAGAGGAAGAGAAGGGGAGUCUUCCAAACCCUGGGAUUGAACCUGUGUUCCCUGCUCAAUGGGUGAAAGCCGCCGUAACUAUUCCAAAAGACUGGUUAAAAAACUAAAAGUUUCCUGGUUUGUGGAAAAGUGGAGAUUCAGGAAGAGUGGCACAGAAAGAACAUGGAAGCUCCACAGAUUUUCCCACAUCAUGCCCUGUGCAUCUCUUCAUUUGACUGUUGAUUUGUAUCUUUUAAUGUUGAUUAUAAUUAACUAGUAAUAUAGUGUGUGAACAGGUUUCCUGAGUUUUGUGAGCAGCUCUAGCAAAUUUAUUGAACCCAAGUUGGUGGUGGUGGGAACCUCUGACUCAUAGUCAGUAGUUAGAGAUACAAGUGAAAAUCUGGACUCGCCAUCAGUAUCUUGAAGUGGGAGCACUUGUAAGACUGAGCCUUUACCCUGUGGGAUCUAAGGCUAUCUUCAAGUAGAGAGUGUCAGUCUUAGUUUGAAUUGUAGGACACUACCCUGGUGUCAGAAAAUUGGUGGUGGUGUUACACAUACACACACUGGAAUGAGGCCCAUGGCACUUAAAGUCCUAAGUGCUGGGAGAUAGAAAUAUCUACGCAUUCUGUCCAGAAAGAGGACAUGAAGACAAGAAGUAC
rnacentral:lncRNA from 1 species